rnacentral:rRNA from 1 species
AAUAUUGGACAAUGGGAGAAACCCUGAUCCAGCCAUCCCGCGUGUAUGAAGAAGGCCUUCGGAUUGUUAAGUACUUUACGCAGAGACGAAGAGCAUUCGGAUAAUACGUUCCACUUAUGACGUUAUCGACAGAAUAAGCACCGGCUAACUUCGUGCCAGCAGCCGCGGUAAUACGUAGGGUGCAAGCGUUAAUCGGAAUUACUGGGCGUAAAGCGCGCGUAGGUGGUUUGGUAAGCUGGGUGUGAAAGCCCCGGGCUUAACCUGGGAACUGCUUUCAAAACUGGCGAGCUAGAGUAUGGAAGAGGGUGGUGGAAUUUCCUGUGUAGCGGUGAAAUGCGUAGAUAUAGGGAGGAACACCGGUGGCGAAGGCGGCCCCCUGGGCUAAUACUGACCCUGAGACGCGAAAGCGUGGGGAGCAAACAG